rnacentral:rRNA from 1 species
CUCUACAGUGAUACCACCCUGAAUGCACCCGGUCUCAUUUGACAUUGGAAUCUAAGCAGAUUUGAGCCUGGUUAGUACUUGGAUGGAGGUAAAAGUUUUACUAAAAAUACCAAAUAAAUCAGUGGAUUUUAAUGC